GAAGUGUCAGACAAAAAAUCUCAUGUGAAUUACUCCAUAAAAUUCAACAUCCACGGACCGCAAGAUGACCUACAUAAUUACAGAAUCAAUAUAUUCAAUAAUUUCUUUUUAUCAAUUUUUAUAGAUAGUUAUAUAAAAAACUUUAAAAUUAUCAAAUGAUCAUGACUAUAACAAGCCCUGAUGAUAAAAAAAUAGGACCCACGCAGGUGAAUGGGACACGCCUGAUAAAAUAUAAUGGAUUUGUUAGAGAAAAAAGGAAUGAUUCUUUUUUAUUUCAGAAGAUAAAGAAAAUUGGUUUGGCUCCAGCCGCCUAUGCAUCCAUUCCCACCACCUACGCACCCAUUCCCACUCGCUCACAAUAUCUGGUCACUGUCAAAUACUGUAUAGUAGUACAGUAGUAUAGUACUCCUCAUACAGGAGUACUGAAAAAACGGCAGUCAUCCUCCUCACAUCUCCCCCGUUCCCCAUUUCUCCCAUCGCCAGCUCCCUCCCUCCACAGCCGGCGGUCCCAGGUUAGGCCACCCCUUCCCUUUGUUACCAUAGCCAGCGCGAGCUUUGCAGCCACUAAUCUUCCUCCCCUUCAUGUCGAAUCUGGCUGCGGAAGUGGCCGAGGAGGCCCUCGAGCUCGGCAUGCUUGCGCCAGCUCUAGGCUCCGUCGGAGGCGUACGCGAAGGCGCGGGACUUGCACGCCUCUCCUCUGCCCUACUCCUUCGAAUCCAGUCGCAGAACUGCUCGAGGAGGCGCUCGAGCUUGGCGUGCUCACCAGCGACGUCGGGCCCCUCCCUCCUCCUGAUGCCCUCACCGUCGCCGCCAUGAGCCUCUCCACCCUCUCCCGCGCGAUUGUCCGGGUCCAGUUGGCCGGAUUAUGUUCCGAUGAUAUGAUCGCAGUGAAUAAUAUGGGUUGCCUAUGUGCUCAUGAAACUAAAAAGUCUUCAAAAGGCAGUCUUCCAAUGAAAUUUGAAAUAUAAAAAACAUGGUAUCAGAAAAGAACGAAUAGGGGAAGAGUCAACAUGGAUGUUGUCCCGGUUUUAUCCCAUCCUGGAGGUAUAAUUUUUUUAUCCGAUUAAUGAUAGCAGCAAAUGUUUGACAUUAUUCAUACUGUUAUGAAAUAAUUUUUUUUGCAUACAACAAUUUUAAAUGUCUUACAGAUUCCAAGAUAAUUUAUCUCCACCAUUCUUUCAUUGUUCCCAAGUUACCUUUCUUAUGCAUUAUUCUCCAUUAGUUCUGAUUUACCUGUGAUCUCACCUCAUUUUGUCAACUACCCGUUUGCCGUAUGUGUGGAGCCCUCAUGGUUGGUCUGUUGGUUUGAGUUAUUUUGUCCCCAAUCUUCGGUCCCAUCAUCCAUUUGCUCGUCCUUCUAAUUUCUUGAUUCGAUUACUGUGUUUAUCUUGGCUACCAUUUCAGCACAAACAUUUACCUGGUGGUGGUCAAAUUGAACAAUGUUAGCAAUCACUCUCUAGCUGACUGAAACUUAACCUCCCUAAAGCAUGAACCAAACCUGCUCUUAGCUGCAAGCUUUGUUGGUCGAGCAAGUGCAAAAAAAACCAUCAACAAAUAAUCUCAUGCUUAAUCCAAUGUUACAUUAAUAAUCUAGCGAGAUCCAAGUAUGGAAGGAAGCAAUUCAAUAUUAUCACAUAUUUCCUUACACUGCACGCCACAGAAGCACAAUCCUAUUUCUUUAUAUUCAUCUUUCCUUUAAUACUUGAAACUGAAACUGAAAUUCCAUGAAUGCUUUGUUCAAGAACAACUAUGAUUGAUCCUUGAGAAAUGUGCAGGUACAUAUGCCAGAACUACACUUACUAUUUCCUAUUACCAUAUCCUUCAUUAAGGAAAAAUUCCCUAAAUAAGCUUGACCUAGCCAAAUGACUAACAAACAUGUAGCCAUGGCCAAUACUGCAUGAAUUAGUCAGGAACUUCAGCACAAACUCAUCUAUUUCAGACUUCUCCUCUGUUCUUCUCUGGACUCUAUAAAUUAAAAUAUCACACAUGCAUAUGCAAAGGCAGUGGAAGCAAAGAGAACUUACAUUGGAAGGAGGCACAACGAAUCCGCAGAACGCUCCAGAAGCAACUGGAAGGCGACGGAGCGGACAACAGCAGCUUGGACCAAUAGAUGACAACGAAAAAAGCAGAGGCCUACAGGAGGCAAAAUGCGGCAAUCAGCGAGCGGGUAAAUCCAAAACAUAGCAAAUAAUGGUGAUGGAGACACCUCAGCCAAACGGUUCCAUGGCAGGUCAACCCGAAGUGCAGCAGCAACAAAGAACCAGCGGAGUUGCAGCAGAAAAGAGAGGCAAAAAUGAAAGCAAGAAGAAACCCAAAUCAGUGAAAAGGAAACGGGAUACUAAAAGCUUAGCCUGUUCAAAGCUUUCUGGGUGUGUACAACAUGCAUAUAUUUAGUAAAGUGUAUAUGCACAUAAGCAUGACUACCAACAACAUAUGGGGAUUUGACAAAUGGGGGAUACUACAGCCAUUUUUAAAAUUUGCAUAUCUUCAUGCAUAUACUUGAUAUCCCGACGACACUAUAUUCACACUACUUGAGAAAGUAAAUAGUCAAACGACAUUAAUAGAGAAGUUGUAGAGUUCUACCGUUUCCGCUUUGCAAUCCCAAUAAAACAAUAUAGUUCUUCUGCAAGUAAUUAUAUGACAUGAUGGUCUACAGCUACAAGAAGGUUGGGUGUGUUAGAGUUAUAAUAUAAGUCAUGUACCCCUUUGUAUUUAUCCCGUUGUAUAAGGGGUUUCCUGCAUAUGUUCCACACCUGUACAUGUAUAUAUAUCGGCCUAUGGCCUCAUGGGAAUACAAGUUGCAUAUUUUCCUAACAGGGUGAAGUCUACAGCCACAAGAACGCCAUCAGCAGGUUCGCGGCGAAGCUCACGCAGGUCGCCGUGUUGAGGAGUGAGUUCCCCUCUUGCUGCUCUGCUCUGCUCUCACAAUCAACUGAAUCCCUUUAGCUAGCAGUAAAACUACAGUUGCAAGAGCUUUUUUUAAUUGCAUGAUGCACAGUUGAUGGUCAACUAAGGCAAACCCAUAGUAUAAUCGUUAAGAUCAAGUUGGUAAUUUUAGUCGGACCUGUUGUCAAUACUGAGGUCAAUGCAAGGCCUACUCACAUGGUUAAUAUGCUAAUUCUUGUCACCAGAAAACCAAGAAAGGUGUACCAUGAGCAAGGAUCGAUAUUAUAAAUGUAUACAGUAUUAUGUAUAAAUGGCCAAUGGCUCCAGCAACUAUAGCAAUUAAACCGUGAGCACCAGGGAAAGAGGAUAAUGAUUUUAAUUCAGCCGUUAUGUAAAAAAGAAAUCAAAUAGUUAUUGAACCUAGCCUUGUUAUGGUAUCUAUUCAAACUAAACAAAGUAAAAAAUAUGGAUAGCAAAUUUACUGAAAGUUGAACGCACACAACUGCUUGAACAGCUCUAGCAGCCUCUGAUAUGCCAAUCAGGAUACCUUGCAAAAUAUUCUCAGAAUGCAUUGAUCAAUAUCUAUGCAAACCAAACAAAGGAGGCUGCUACACUAUGGAUCAAAAAAUAUUCACCGUCUAAAUCGUUCAGGCCAAAGCCAUUGCCAAGACUCCUCAGAUUUAUUCCUUAAAUGUUCCAUGUGUUCAGAAAAUAAAAUAUAAUACGAUGAACUCUAGUUUCAUAAACUGUUAUUGGAACAUAUGUACCAUUUUGUAACUGAGUAUACACACCAGUGCUAACCACAUAUAGUUGUUCUUAGUCCAAGCAAAAAUGUACCCAUGUUAACAAUUUUGUACAUGGGUAGUGUGGAUAUUUAACCUCAAUAGGAUAACAUCACAUUUUAUCUGCUAACCAAAGUACAACGGGGCAGAGCUUGAAUCUAACUAUUAUAAAAAAAACACAAACCGAUCUAGUAGCAUAUAUAAUUUGGAUCUAGCAUAUAUUUUGGCUUGGUGUAUCCAUGUUAACAACUGUUUAACUGAUAUAUUGGACUGGGGUACCAAGUCUAAUUAGUUACCUGAUUCCUAAUCAGGAAGCCUACUCACGUGUGGCCACCUGUAACAUUUCUUUAAACAUGUUGCUUCAAUAAUGUCAAUCUACAAAGCAUUCACUAUACAGAAAGGGGAAUAAAAUGCAGCUUCCAUCAGGACAAAUAUAUUAACAAGUUUAAAUGUGAAUGAUGAAGUAAAAGCAACGAGAGAGGAGCACCUCUGCAAGAUUGGAGGAAGUGGUGUUCCACUCCUAGGCUCCUAGCGCUCCUGUAGCCGACGCCUCAUCCGUGAGAUGAAGAGGAGAGACGAGAAGCUGCCGCCGUCGCCUUUAGAAUAACAGGUUGGAGGUCGGCGUUGAGCGCAGUCAUUCCUCACAGUCGACCAGCUCAGCUAGCUUUGUCGCUCCCAUGCUCGCUGCCGCCGUUGUUCUUACAUAUGAUGUGGGUUGGAGAGCCGACGCGACGGCAGGCGCAGGAGAUAGCAGGGGAAGGACCUGUACAUGUAGCACGCAAGAGGAAGAACACCGAGGUAAGCAGGGUGCACUGCGUAAAAUGCAGACGAUCUGAAGGAAGGCCAGCACCGACCUUAACCAGCAGCACCUAUGGAACGCCAUCACAAUGGCGACGCACAUGGACGGCGAAGAAUACCAGUCAGCCGCAACGGGUCGGAGAGGAAGCAAAGCGUGGUGGGGGCGAAGCAGGCGAACGACGGACAACGAAAAUGGAGAGCGGGAGAGAGAAAAGGAGCAACGAAGGAAAGAUGAAAAAGGAAGAAAGGGCCGGGCGCGGUCUCUCCCCACAUCAGGAAACACUCGGCGCACGGGAACACACCCACCACCGCCCGGAAGACACGCAUCCUAAGCGGGCCACUCUGGCCCACCGUCAUACAGACAGCAGGCCAGCGGCUGAAAGACGCUCGCGCAAGAGGGGGACGUGCAGGCUCAGCGUAGAGGCGGGCUCCACGGCGCGGCGCACACACGUCCGACUGGUCGAGCCGUGCAUCAGCCACAGCGAGACCAGGCGCAGGAGUCAGCCUCGCAUGACGAGUUUCACGGGGCAAGCCUGUGCGAUAGCUGGAAACUUCUUGCCUGUUGAGGCCGACGGGUUCGUGUUAAUAUAGUGGGGCGCACCUCCCAUACAGCGCAUACAAUGUGGUUUAGAUUACAGGAGAUAUUCGGGGAGAAGAUAGAACUUGGAGAGAAAGAAACAACUUAUCUCUAUCUAUUUCUAUCUAUCCUAACUACCUCCAGGUGUGGCUCAAGUGUAGAUGCGCCAUGUACCACGUACCAUAACGUGACAGCAUGUUUGACACCCUCCCUUAGUCACAACUUCAUCAAGUUGAGAUUAUGCUUGAAGUCUUCAAAACUCUUUGUAGGCAGGGGCUUUGUGAAUCCAUCUGCAAUUUGAUCUUUGGAAUGCACAAACCGAAUGUCAAGUUGUUUUUGAGCAACUCUCUCUCUGACAAAAUGAAAAUCUAUCUCUAUAUGCUUUGUUCUAGCAUGAAACACAGGAUUAGCAGAAAGAUAAGUAGCACCAAGGUUGUCACACAACAAGCAUGGAGCUUGUUUGCUCUUCACACCAAGCUCUUUCAACAUAGACUAAACCCAUAUGAUUUCAGUUGUGGCAUUUGCUAAUGCCUUGUACUCUGCCUCAGUGCUUGACCUGGAGACAGUAGCCUGCUUGCGUGCACACCAUGAUAUCAGGUUAGGUCCAAAAAAUACCGCAAAGCCUCCUGUGGAGCGUCUGUCAUCCAGGCAGCCUGCCCAAUCAGAUCAGAAAAGGCACUGACAAGAGUAGAGGAUGACUUGCUGAAAUUCAGGCCUAUACUCAGAGUAUGUUUAACAUAUCUAAUGAUACGUUUGGCAGCUGUCAAGUGAACAGUGGUAGGUGCAUGCAAAAAUUGACAGACUUUGUUGACGGCAAAUGAAAGAUCAGGCCUGGUAAGAGUUAGGUACUGAAGAGCUCCUACUAGACUUCUAUAUUUUGUGCUAUCUUCCUGACUCAAAGGUUUACCUUCCAUAAGUGACAACUUUUCUGAGCUGGAUAACGGAGUGAGAGAGGGUUUACAACCUUGUAGUCCUGCCUUUUUAACCAGAUCAGUUGCAUACUUAGCUUGAGAAAGGUGAAGUCCAUUCGAAUGCUUCUUUACCUCAAUCCCAAGGAAAUAAUGAAAGUCUCCGAGAUCCUUUAACGCAAAAUCUGUACUCAAGUCUUUCAACAGUCCUCUAAUUGCUUCAUCAGAUGAACUGGUCACAAUUAUAUCAUCAACAUAGAUGAGAACAAAUAUGCAUGUAUUGGAUCUGUUAUAAAUGAACAAUGAUGUGUCUGACUUAGAGGGAAUAAAUCCAAGUGUUUGCAUCUUGUGACAGAGACGUGAGUACCAUGCCCUUGGAGCUUGCUUUAAUCCAUAUAAAGCUUUAUCAAGUUUGCACACAUAGGAGGGAGUUUUCUUACUUUCAAACUCAGGAGGUUGUUUCAUGUACACUUCCUCUUCCAGAACACCAUGAAGAAACGCGUUCUGUACAUCAAGCUGCCUGAGACUCCAUCCCCUGGAAACAGCAAUGGACAAAACAAGACGAAUAGUGGCUGCUUUUACCACAGGACUAAACGUAUCCUCAUAGUCUAUGCCAUAUCGCUGUUUGAAGCCUUUUGCAACUAGCCUAGCCUUAUAGCGAUCAAUGGUUCCAUCAGAUCUCCUCUUAAUCCUAAAAACCCACUUGCAAUCAAUAAAGUUUUUACCUUGCUGUGGAGGAACCAAGUGCCAAGUUUUAUUUUUCUUCAAUGCCAUGUAUUCUUCAUCCAUUGCCUUCUUCCACUUAUCAUCACGAAGCGCUGCAUCAAGGGUUGCUGGCUCAUCUGGUUCUCCUGUGGAACAGACCAAACCAUAUUUGGUUACAUGUUUAUAAUUUAAAGGCUGAGUUAACCCUUGUUGGAGCUGUGUUCGCCGUGAUGGGGGAGCAGCAGAAUCCGCAGCCACAGAGGAUCCAGCGGGCUGCACAGGUGGAUCGGCAACAUAUCCCGAGGGAGAUCUUGCCGCGGACCCAGCAGCAGUUCCAGUCGGCGCAGGGUUGGCCGGAUCUUCUGUGACCACUCGCUGAAGCGCCUCGUCCAGAGUUGGCGCAGAAGAUCCCGAGGCGGGAACCCGCUCAUCAUUGCGCGAUGAUGACGCUGUGGCUCGGGUCCACGCGCCAGUCGGUCGAUCGACAGCGGUGGGACCAGCUCCGGGGUCCGCGUCCGCGCUGGCCCGCGCGGAUUCGCGCCGCUUGUACGUGACAGGGCGGGCGCCGUACUGCGUGCCGCCUGGGGGGACCCGCAUGUCGGGCGUGGCCCGCGUGUCGGUGGUGGAGGCGCGCAAAUCUGGCGGGGCGGUGCACUCGCCUGCACCUGUCGCCCCUGCACCACCCGAUCCCGAGGGGGAUCUGGUCUCCUGCGGCGCUGCUGAUCCCGAGGAGGAUCUGUCCCCUGGCGCAUUGUCUCCUGCCACGGGACACAUGAGAUAUGGCCCAAUUUCUGCACCGUUUUGGUUGUUUUCUUCACAAUUUUCUCCUGUUUCAUCAACGCAAAGCUCAUGUAUGCCAUUAGAUGAGUUAGUCAACGAAUGAUCAUCAGUAUUUGGUCCCCCUUUAUGAAAACUAGUGAGAUGAGGAGGUAGGAGAAGAAUUUCUUCUCGAAGGAGUGCACCAGCAUUGCGGUGGAGAUCAGCGAAUGGAAACUUGGUUUCAUCAAAAACGACAUCACGGGAGAUGUAUACUCGCCCGGUGGAGACAUCUAAGCACUUGACCUCUUUGUGCUGGGCACUGUAGCCAAGGAAUACGCACUGUUUUGAUCGAAACAUGAGCUUUCGGUUGUUGUAGGGACGAAGGUUGGGCCAACAUGCACACCCAAAUACACGAAGAGACUUAUAGUCUGGUUUGGUGUGGAGAAGUCGUUCUACCGGAGUUUCAUUAUUAAUAACACGACUAGGAAGCAUGUUGAUGAUAUGGACUGCGGUUAAAAACGCUUCAUCCCAGAAUUUUAGAGGCAUGGAGGCGCCUGCUAGAAGAGCAAGGCCAACCUCGACGAUGUGUUGAUGCUUACGUUCAGCUGACCCGUUUUGCUGGUGAGCAUGAGGACAGGACACUUGAUGUGAGACACCAAGUGUUUGGAAGAAGGAGUUCAACUUUUCGUACUCCCCUCCCCAGUCUGACUGGACAGAGAUGAUUUUGCUGUCAAAUUUUCGCUCAACAAGAGCUUGAAAGUUUUUGAACACUUGAAACACAUCGGAUCGUUUCUUUAAAAGAUAGAUCCAAAAAAAUUUGCCAAAGUCAUCGAUGAAGCUAACAUAAUAGGUGUGUCUGCCAACAGAAGUAGGGGCAGGGCCCCAAACAUCAGAAAAAAUCAAUUGUAACUGUUUGGUAGAAACACUGCUAGAAAUUGGGUAAGCCAACUGAUGACUUUUAGCUUUUUGACAUGAAUCACAAAUUGUCUCAUUAUGACGCUCACCAACAAACGGGAGCUUAUUUUUCCUAAGCAAUUUUUCAACUAAAGAAAAAGAUGCAUGUCCUAAACGAUCAUGCCAUCGUAUGGACGAAAGCUUGAUAGCACCACAAGCAUAUUUAUUUGGUCUUCUAAACUCCGGAAUCAACGGAUAGAGGCCGCCAACGCAUCUACCUCGAUAGAGAAUUGUCCUCGUGGCCUGAUCCUUGAUCAAAAAGAAGUAAGGGUGAAAUUCAAGAAAUACAUGAUUAUCAAGGGCAAUUCGAUGGACAGAAAUAAGACUCUUGUUGGCGCUAGGGACAUGCAAUUUUUUUCUAAGAUGAAUAUUGCGAUGAGGGGUACGAAAUAUUGAGUGACCAAAGUGACUUAUACUCAUACCUUCUCCACUGGCAGUGUGGAUUUGAUCCUUGCCACGAUACUUCUCUUUCAUGGUUACUUUCUCGAGCUCGUUGGUGAUGUGGUUGGUAGCACCACUGUCGACGUACCAGUUCGUGUCGACGCCAUAUGAGCCAUCGGCCGCCGCAGCGACUUUUUCUUCAUCUUGAGAGUCGUAGUCGUCCUCCUCAUACCUGUACCAUUAAUCCUUUGCUGUGUGCCCGACCUUGCCGCAGAUCUGGCACCGAGGGGUGUCCGGACGGUUCCUGCCGCCGCCACCAGCGCCGCGUCCGCGGCGGCCUCGGCCACCAGAUCGUGGUGGCGUGGCGCCACGGUUGCCGCCGCCGCUGGACCUGCCCUUGUUGCGAGAGGGCCCACGCGAGCGAGAGCCGCCACCCCGCCCGCGAGUGGCCGCGUUCGCGGAUGAUUUGAAGCCGCCGCCGGCCCCCUGGAAUUGAGCCAUGCGCUGAUCGAAGUUGGAUAACAUGGCAAAGAGUUCAUCAAGGGUUACCCCGGUCACGCGAGCGUCGAGGGCAGAGACCAGAGGCUGAUAGUCGGCGUCGAGCCCGUGGAUGAUGUAGGAGGCAAGUUCGUCGUCGGGGAUCACCUUUCCUGCGGCAGCUAGCUCGUCGGCGUAGCCACGCAUGACGGCGAAGUAGGAGGCGACGGAGAGGUUCCCCUUCUGCGCGUUGAUGAGGGAUGUUCGGAUGUUGUUGAUGCGGCUGGCAGACUGGGACGAGAACAUCCCAGCGAGCGUCGGCCAGAGCGCGCCCGCGGUGGUGACCGUGGUCACCGUGAGCAGCACCUCACGCGUCAGGUUAUUCAGCAGAUAUCCAAGGACCUGCUGAUCCUCCCUGACCCAAAUUGGGUGGAGAGGGUUGGGCGAUGAUGAGACCUCCUUGCCGUCCUUGGUGGUGACGAGGAGUUUUGCCGGCUCCGGCUGGGUGCCGUCGACGUAGCCGUAGACACCGGCGCCACACAGCUGGGGGAUGACUUGCGUGCGCCAUAGCACAUAGUUUGUGCGCGUCAGCUUCUCGGUAACCUGGCCAUUGAGGCUGGUUUGGGAUGCGCCGGAGGAGGAAGACAUGGCUAGGGCUAGAUGGAGUUUGCAGGGAGCUUAGAUGGGAAAAGGAUAGCUCUGACUACCAUGUGCGAUAGCUGGAAACGUCUUGCCUGUUGAGGCCGACGGGUUCGUGUUAAUAUAGUGGGGCGCACCUCCCAUACAGCGCAUACAAUGUGGUUUAGAUUACAGGAGAUAUUCGAGGAGAAGAUAGAACUUGGAGAGAAAGAAACAACUUAUCUCUAUCUAUCUCUAUCUAUCCUAACUACCUCCAGAUGUGGCUCAAGUGUAGAUGCGCCAUUUGACAAAGCCAACAACUCCCUCCAACCCCGAACAGAAAGCUGGAGACACGACGAACAAACACCACCCGCUGACGCGUAGGACCAGGGAGCAGGGUGUCCCACAUGUCAUCCCAAGCGAAGAACCAACGGGUAUAUCCCCACCAGCAAAUCAGCCUCUCCACGCCUCGGUCCUUCCACCCCGUGUGCAGCGGUCCACGCGCAACGACGCACGACCUCCUGCGCACAGUCCAUCCCGUGGGGGCCCGCGCAACGGCAGGCGAUUGCCCGCGCACACACCAUCCCGUGAGGACCUGAGCCUAGCCAGCGAAUCUGACGAGCGGGUCCAGCAGCACCACCGGCCCACCUAUCAGUGAGAGGAGGAUGCGCUAACCGGGUGCGCAUGCGUCGACCAAUCUCGCCAGCCAACCCGUGCGGCCCUGCACGCACGCACGCUGCGGUCAGCGCCGAAACAGCCACGCGACGCGCAACGAGUGGCCACCCGAAAAUUUCAAACCCAGCCAACCAGAAACCUCGCCGAGCACACCGGUCAUCGGGUUCUACACAAGACUGCUAAGUCAAAACGGGCAGUGAAAAUCGAACGGUAGCCACAGCCACGUUGACCAGACCAGAGGCAAUCGAACGAACACAAACGGUGCGAAAUCGAGGAAGCCUUAGGUGAGCGGGUCGGCUAGCCAUCUGAUAUGUUAGAAUUUUCUCUUCUCACACAAAAAUUGGUUUUGCUGGAUAGCUCUCAUCAGCUUGCUCUUGAUCCGCUGUAUUGAGGUUGCUCCUCCUCACCUCAAGCCACCACUGGAGCUGGUGCUGCCACAGGGUGACCAUCGACGGCGGCUGGUUUGGCCCCUCGCCCGCAGCCUCUUGGAUCCAGCUUCAGUAUGAGGGAGCUGGAGACAUUUUCUUCCCCAAGCGCGCAAACCAAACGCAUCGCCGCUAUUUCUGCGCGAGGCAGCUCAACACAUCAUUCACAUCCUCUACUGCGGCAACAUUCUUCAAUUCGAACUGCAGAACGGAGCUGUGGCAUUAAGACAGAAACCCACUAUCGAAUUUGAGGUUGGUCGAAUAUGAAAACCAUCUGAUGCACCAUAUGUGUUUCUCUAUAUCGCAGCAAGCAAUCCCAUUUUUGUCUGUUAUACAUGCAGUGUGGUUCUAGUCUUCUAGAGUAUAUUAUCUUAACGUGAAUACACGGGAACCAACAUCCAUGGCAUCACCAUUAAAAAACAUCCCGUCACGCCCGCUGUUGCUACAGCGCCUCCAGCCGCCGGCGACUCCUGCCCGUCGCGCCUGCUGUAGCAGCACAGCCUCCAGCGCCUGCAGACACCUGCCCGUCGCGCCUGCUGUGCGACUCCUGCGCCGGCGACUCCAGCACCUCAGCCUCCCAACGCCGGAGCUCCGGAUCCGGCCAAUUGACCUAGUCGGCGAGCAGCCAGGUCGCCUCGUCACGCCUCUCUUCCUCACUGGUUCUCCUGCUCUCGCUUCCUCCAAAUUGUGACUGGCGGACCAAGCAAAUCGAGUAAGAACAACGACAGGGGUUCUCCUGUUUGGAGGAAGAACAUCAACAUGGGUUUGUUUGGAGGAAGAACAACAACAGGGACCAACCAAAUUGUGAAUUGCUACCUGUAACAGGGCUCUGUUUGUGAACAGCAACAGGGACCAACAGGUGUAUGUGUUUGGAUUGAUCAGAAGUGUUGCAGCAACAUGGGUCCUCCCAUUGUGUUACUCCACUUGAUCAGAAUUGCUUGGAUUGACCAUUGUCCAUCUGUCCACCUGUGAAAACAAAAGCAAGAUUGACAAAUCAGCAGAAAAUUGACAAAGCAAGAUCAACAGUAGGUUAGCUACUCCAUUUUUAAUCCAAGUACUCUUAAUGAUCAACAACAAGGAGUAGAUUCUUGGGAUACUAACUGGAUUAUUAUCCUGAAACCAGGCUCAUAAUUCAGUUUUUGUCUGGAUUGUUUGAAAGCAAACUGUACAUGCUCACCAAUUAUUUUUGAUGUCUUUCAACAUUGGCAACUCUCUCGUGUAAAUUAAAAUAAAGAGAAGAUGAAACUCCUUGUUGGAGUAUGUGUAA